CGUUGAAGCACCGGUUCCCGUUUGAUCAAUGAAGCUAAGCAACGUCGAGCCUGGUUAGUAUUUAGAUGGGUAAUCGCUUGGAAAUCCCAGUUGAUG